rnacentral:rRNA from 1 species
CUACGGGUCGCAGCAGUGGGGAAUAUUGCACAAUGGAGGAAACUCUGAUGCAGCAACGCCGCGUGGAGGAUGACACUUUUCGGAGCAUAAACUCCUUUUAUAUAGGAAGAAGAUGACGGUACUAUAUGAAUAAGCGCCGGCUAACUCCGUGCCAGCAGCCGCGGUAAUACGGAGGACGCAAGCGUUACUCGGAAUCACUGGGCGUAAAGAGCGUGUAGGCGGAUUAAAAAGUCAGAAGUGAAAUCCUAUAGCUUAACUAUAGAACUGCUUCUGAAACUCUUAAUCUAGAAUAUGGGAGAGGUAGAUGGAAUUUCUGGUGUAGGGGUAAAAUCCGUAGAGAUCAGAAGGAAUACCGAUUGCGAAGGCGAUCUACUAGAACAUUAUUGACGCUGAGACGCGAAAGCGUGGGGAGCAAACAGGCUUAGAUACCCCCGUAGUC